UUCAUGUUCUCUCUCCUCUUGCCCUAUCACUUCUUUCUCUUCUUAGAGGCCAGUCUCCUGAUUCACUCCUGCUCUGCCAGAAGGUGGAGAAUGAGAUGGAAUAGGCCCACCUGUUCUGGCCUGAGCUCUACAGGUGGUACAGAAGGCCCUGAGUAAGGCCUAAACGCCUGACUGCUCUCUCAGGUGGAAAAGAUUAAUAAAACUACUCCUUCCUUUCUGUGUGUGUGUAUAUACAAGGACUACAGAUGCUCUCAAUGACUCUGCAAUCAAAUGAUUAAUAUUGGCCCAACAUUAAUUAAAACUCUAAUGGCUAUAAAUUA